AUUGAACACUGGCGGCAUGCUUUACACAUGCAAGUCGGACGGCAGCACGGGAGCAAAGGGAAACCAAUGCGCCUGGUGGCGAGUGGCGAACGGGUGAGUAAUGUAUCGGAACGUACCUGAUAGUGGGGGACAACUCGUUGAAAGAUGAGCUAAUACCGCAUAAACCCUGAGGGGGAAAGCGGGGGAUCUGAAAGGACCUCGCGCUAGCAGAGCGGCCGAUAUCUGAUUAGCUAGUUGGUAGGGUAAAGGCCUACCAAGGCGAUGAUCAGUAGCUGGGCUGAGAGGACGACCAGCCACACUGGAACGGAGAGACGGACCAGACUCCUACGGGAGGCAGCAGUGGGGAAUUUUGGACAAUGGGGGCAACCCUGAUCCAGCAAUGCCGCGUGAGUGAAGAAGGCCCUCGGGUUGUAAAGCUCUUUUGUUGGGGAAGAAAGGGUGGUUGAUAAUACCAAUCAUCGAUGACGGUACCCAAAGAAUAAGCACCGGCUAACUACGUGCCAGCAGCCGCCGUAAAAC
rnacentral:rRNA from 1 species